rnacentral:rRNA from 1 species
GAUGAACGCUCGCGGCAGGCCUAACACAUGCAAGUCGAGGGAGGAGCUUUCGGGCUUCGACCGGCGUACGGGUGCGUAACGCGUAUACAAUCUGCCUUUCACAUAGGGAUAGCCCGAAGAAAUUUGGAUUAAUACCUAAUGGUAUAUAGAGGUGGCAUCACCUUUAUAUUAAAGCUGAGGCGGUGAAAGAUGAGUAUGCGUUCUAUUAGCUAGUUGGAGAGGUAACGGCUCCCCAAGGCGACGAUAGAUAGGGGUUCUGAGAGGGAUAUCCCCCACACUGGUACUGAGAUACGGACCAGACUCCUACGGGAGGCAGCAGUGAGGAAUAUUGGACAAUGGUCGGAAGACUGAUCCAGCCAUGCCGCGUGCAGGAAGACGGCCUUAUGGGUUGUAAACUGCUUUUGCAGGGGAGGAAUAAGGACUACGCGUAGUUUGAUGACGGUACUCUGCGAAUAAGCAUCGGCUAACUCCGUG